CGGGCCGGGCCGCACCGGGCCGCACCGCCACCGAACGGCGGCCGUGGCCUGCCAGACGGCCCGGGCAGGAGCCAGCGCAGCGGCGACGGGUGGUUCCCCACGGCAGGGGGGCUUAGCUGAGCCGGCUCUGACCUCCCCACCUGGCCCAGGCAGUGGGCUGAGAGCCACCUCUUCCCCCGCGAUCCCCGUUGGGCAGUACCUCAUGAGGUAGAGGCGGCAGAGCCCGAGGAGAGUCGGGGAUUUCCCUUGCUGGAAGGCAGCACGGUGGCCUCUGCCGGGCAGGGCGGCAGCUGCCCCCGAGGACAGAAAGCAGUGCCAGCGUAGCGGGAGCUCCCGCCUGACUCCGGCUCUUCUGCCCGGCCGCUCCGGUCCAGCAGCGGGUUUGGGGAAGAUGGAAGGGACAGGUUGCAUCCACCUCUUCUCUAACCCAGCUUCCAGUUUCAGAUGCUGAAAUGGUGUUUAAAGUGGACUGCAUGCUCCUGUAAUUUCUCUCCUGAAACAAAAAAAAAACAAAAAAAAAACCAAAAAAACCAACAUUGGAAACUAAUUAACCAAGGGAAAAAGAGAAAAACUGACUGCUAAAUACAAUGGAAUGAAAUUUGGGAAGAAAUGUGUAGACUGUGAUGGACAGGAAAAAGAUACUAGGAUUGGAAAUGCAGAUGUCACUGAAUCUGGGAUUGGUAUUGUGUUAGGGCUGAAUUGGUAAGUAAAAUGGAGCUGAUAUCUGAAAUAGUGACAGCAUAGUUUCACAGAUAAGCUCCUGGGUAUUUAGUUGGAGAGAAGCAGCAGAUGUUAGCUGUACAACUGGUUAGGGAUUUCCCGAUAAGCUACUUAUGUCCAUGAGAAAAUGAUAACAAUUCAAGAUCUAAAUGGUUGUUGUGAAUACAGUAAAUCUCCCAUAUUUUUUGUCUGUUGUUUUGGUUCUGUUGUUUUUCAAAAAAAGAAUGUUUCCAAUUGUUGAAAAUGCUUCAUCAUUUCUAAGUGGAAAGGAGUCUUAUCUUCCAUGACUUUCUACUAAAUGUUGUAGAUAAUGGAAACACAUUUGAAAACAGUGGGGAACAUUUAAAAACUGUAAGCUUAAUAAUUUAAAAUUCAAGUUUAUAAAUUUAAUUCAACUUAAUGGAGCAUUUUUAAUAAAUAGAUCACAAAAAUCUCUGAUUUUUUUCUCUUUUCAUGGCUUGGAAAUUGAAGUUAAACUCUGCCCAGUGAUAGACUUCCAUAGUCAGCAGUUUUGCCAGCCUGAACCAAACUGAUCAUGGACAUAAAAGGUAGAUAACAUAAAAUAGAAUCUGAAAUAUUGCAUGAUAAAGCAUUUUUAUGACAAAUAUCUGCAUACUUUGGUUUUUUUUGAGCAAGAAGUGCUGCUUUGAGAGGGAAAAGGUUUCUCUGGUUUUCUUUACUCUCUGUGCACCAAACUGACCUCACAAUACUUGAAAAAUUCUGUCAUAGGGCAGGCUCUGUUUAUCCCAAAGUAUGUAUUGAAGAUGUUUGUUGUGGCUUGAUGAUAGAAUAACUGAUGCAUUCAGAUAAGCAUGAGUAUCUUGGCAUUGUUUGUGCAUAUUUGUACAAAUUGUCCUCACUGGCUCUCUGGUUCUUAGGAGCAUACUAUGCCUGGAACAUUGCUGCUUGAAGCUGCUGAGGCACUGUUCCCAUUCUGGGGAUGCUGAAGUGAGGUAGUUACUGUGCCUAAAGACACAGCUCAAGCUUAAUUCAGUAAUUUCUUAAUAGUACUUCUUGGGUGAUUUCUGAACAGAGUAUUUUCUUGAAAUUAGAUUGAUAAUCCCAUUAGUAAAAGAUGUAUGCUAUUGAAAAUCAAUUGUUCAGUAUUUUAGUUAUUUUUUAUUAUUAUAACAAAUUUCUUGUAGUACAAUUCUCUAAUUAUUACAUAAGAAUAUAACCAAUUUACAAACUUUGUUCUUUUAUGUAUCAAGAGGGUAUUGUAGCAUUACUCAACACUAAUAUUUUUGUGGCUAUUGUCCUGGUCUCCUUGUCGUUAUCACUCAAGUUCUUCAUCAGUACAAAAAGGACCUUCAUCAGAUCCUGGGAAUGAAAAUACUGCCACUGCAGAAUCAGAUGUGUGCAUAUUUUGAUAUUGAUGUAUAUUUGAUAUUCAGGUAUUGAUGCACGAUUUUGACCAGUAGGAAUAGGCGUCAUCAUCAUAGUAUUUCUGUGAGUGGGUACAGCCUGAAGAAAGAGUCUGUUAACUAUCCAUCAACAGCUGUGUCCAAAGCUUAUGGAGCCAAAGAGAACAAGCAGAGUGACCAAGAGAAAGUAAGGAUAACAGAGUCCUAAUUGUGAGCUAAGCAAUGUUUGAUAGCACACAAAGAACAUAGGUUUGCAAGCAGUUUUAAAGUUGAGCUAGAAAUUUAUCUAACUGCUAGAUAUGUCUGAAAUUAUUACUGAAUUUCUGCUCUGAUAUUUAAAAAGAUGCUAGCUGAGCUUGCAAGGUUGAUUGGUCUCUCUAUGACUAGUUUUAACAUACUUUUAUGUGGUUUGAUAUUUUUAUUUUAUAUUUAUAUAUUUAUAACAAUUUUUUUUGUCCAAUAUGAUUUGAAUAAACUAAAUUGUGGUUAACCUAAAUUAUAUAAUGAUUUUUGCAUGAAUAAUAAGACCAUACACAGGUCCAGGUAAAACAGGUGGGAUUCUUGAGACAAAGAUAUGAGAUAAUUGAUAAGCACUGCUUCUGUGUUCUUAAGUGCAAGUUUCCUCACUUGUGAUGAUUUAAUGAGUUAAGAGAGACUGUGUUUAGAAACAGAGAAUAAAUAGAUUUCUUACCUAAAUUAUCAUUGAUCUUUUAAUAUUUAUUGCUGUUGGUUACUGCUGCUGCCUUGGUUUCGCUGCAUGACACUGAAAAGCCAGAGCUAAGAAUAAAAUUAUGCGGGAACCUAGUAUUUUACAUAGGAGGAGAGAGGAUAAAGAAUGGAAUGGUGCAAGAGAUCACAGGGAAACUGCAGAAGAGAGGAAGAUAAAAAUGGAAAGAGAGAAGAUUCACAGAAAAAAAAAAUAUUGCAAGAAGUACUACAGUUGUACAUCAUAGUUUCUUACUUGAAAAUGUUCAGAUUUAAAAAUUUGACCCUAGCAGUUGAGCAGACUCUGUUUUACCAUAACUAAAACUAUAUUUUCCUUUCAUUUACAGUCACUGCCUUGCUGUGUUAACUUUACGUUAUUGUAGCUUUUCAGUUUGGGAUACAAAUUAAAAAAUAUUCCAUUUCAUUUUAAUAUUCAACUCAUGAAAGACUGGUAAACACACUACGUACUGUACGAAUGCUUAAAGUUGUUCCUUACAAGUCUUGUAAAUAAUGAAAGUUCACUCUUACACCAAUUGGAUCAGAUGUUUAUUUAGGAUAACCUCAUAGAACUAAAUACACUCAGAAAACAAAAACUCUGUUCUUGUAUCUUACUCCAACAUAAAAAAAAAGAAAUGUAAAAAUGACUUAGUGGGUGAACUUCUUCAAGUAAUAAAAGGCCCUUUUACUUAAACCAUAAUUUAGGCUUAAUCACAGGGAGAAAAAAGUGUGUCUUUUCUCUGCCAUAAUAGACAAACGUCUCAACAUGAAGCUCUACACAAUGCUGCAGCAUUGUCACCCUGGGUUAAAUAAACAAGGCAAUCAUAAGAUAGAGUAGAAAGACAUUUCAAACAGAUUUCUAACUGUGUUUGAUUAUACUUAAAUUUAAUGGAUCUUGACAUGAUGAAGCAUGUGAAGAGAGUCUUAAAAGUAACUUGAUUAGAAUAAGUUUUUUUUGGGAUACAAAAGAAUAUAACAAUGUGAACUUAGAAGUAUAGACAAACAAAAAAAUCAAAAAAUACAUAAUUAAUCUGAUUUUGAUCAUGGUUUAUAUUAUCCAGAAUAAAGGAUUUUUUUAGGAAAAAAAAAUAUUUUAAAAAAAACUGCACGUGGAAAUCAAAUACAGAAAUAAGUCACAUUUUUUCAUAUUUUCUCUUUGAGUUUCACAAAGAAAGUGGACAAAUUUGUAUGUGGAUAUCUUCCAAACAUGAGUUCUAUAUGUUCAUCCUAUGCCACGUGAAUACACCUCUGUUUCUGAAGUAUAUUUUUACAGCAGCUUUACAAAGUAGAGCGAGACUGGUGUUUCCAUAUGGAGUGCUGUGGAAUGAAGGGUAAACACUAAUGAUACUUUGUGAAAACAAAGGUAUGCAGUCUUGAUUUAAACAUAGUAUACAUGUAAGAGUUACAUUUUUGCAGCUAGCCAGCUGAGAUGUAAAUUAAUUUAUUUAAAGCUAAAUCUCAUACCAGUGCUCUGUGCUUUACAGCUGAGAAAAUUUCUCAUAAAUUAUGGACCCCACUGUUCUGUAAUAGAGCAGGGAAUUGAAUUUAGGUAUGGCCAGUAUCAAAUUAACUCAACAACCACUUGCCCCCCACCUGCCUCCUGCCUAGAAAGAAAGGAAAUGCCCUCCUCUGAGGAGGAGACUGGGCAUGUACGUGUGUGUGCUGGGGCAAAACUUCAGCUGCUGUUUUCCAUUCAGACUUGAGCACACAGCAUUGCAGAGAGUUCUUCAUAAAUCUCUGCAUACAUGUGUUACAAGUCAGAGUUUUAUAAUAAACCUGAUUUGAGAAAUUUGAUGAAAUAAUAGUUUUACAUUAUUCCAUAUCUUCCUUCUUUAAGACAUUGAGAUGUGAAAGUCCUCCCAGAUGUAGCAAAGUACAGGCAUUUGUCUAAAGCUUGGUUCAUUAGGAUUCUAGGUGGUCCUGUUUGGCUGGUCCAUAUUAAUUGCAGCAGUGACAUUUGGGGUCAGGGGAUCACGAAACAGCCAGUCUGUAUUAUUUUGACCUGAUCUCAGGUGCUGUGGUGUAGGAAAUAGUUAAUUAUAGUUUUUCAGUGACUCACAUCUUUAAUAUUAGUGUGAUUGAUCUUUGUGCACUGUAGACCCUUGCAGCUGUUUCUCAUCAUAAGAUUCCCCCUUCGUAUUCACCACAACACUUAAACACAUUCAGUUACGUUUAUAAAUGAUGUGAAGCCUCCACCAGCAGCAUGGUGUCUCAAAGUAGGCAAAUAUAAAGCAUACAGGUACAAAGCUCUGCUGGAAACUGUAGGGACCUUGAAGGAAAAAGAAAGAAGCAAAUUAUCAGAAAACAUUUUUUUCUCAUUUCAAUCAACCCAAAUCCCCCCUCAUCAUGGGUUUCAAUUAAAGUUUAGAAUAUAUUAUAUUUUUAGGCAUUUUGCAAUAGACAACCCAUGCAAACCAGGAACUGAAAACAUCAGCUAUUACUAUAAAGAUUUGAAGUACAUUUAGUAUAUAGCACCUCGUUAAAUUGAGUCAGUAGUUGGUAGAUUACAGAGGUGCUUUCCAGUGAAAAAUUAUCUGUUUUUUCAAAAGCCAAAAUAAUUCAGUGUGGAAUGCUAUAUAUAUUAUAUGCAUUAAAAUAUUUAUGUUAAUUCAAGAGGAUAUAAAAAGUGUAGGGAAGCUGGGAACUUGAAUGUUAUGUUUUUCACAGCACCUGUCACUUCACUAUAGCCAGCAGCAUAUCCUUGCAGCAUUGAUCUAAUUAAAUUCAAUGCCUCUGCAAAGGGGCACAAUGCCAAUGGCUGUGAGAACCUCAAUUUUAUAUUUCCUGAGUCUGACAUAUUUAAAGUUUCAUCUAUAACACUAGAUUAAAUUAAAUCUAUGUUGAAUAUAUGGUAAGAAACUGGAUUAAGCUCUGAAUUCUCUAGUUAACACUCACAAAGUGCUUCUUGUAAUGAUAUCACUUGGAUUAUUUAUCCUGUACACUGUUCAUGAAGAUAGAUGUUCAACUUUUCCGCCAGAACUCUUCAUCAAAAGUUUAUUCUGCCUGGGAUAAAGUUCAGCUGUUGUCACAGAAGUGUUUCAUUGCAAAGGCCUGAGACCACUUCCCUUAUUCCUUUCAGGAAUACAAUAACAAAUGUUUGGAGGGAUAGGAAUCACAUGAUGUUCACAACCAUUACCCAACAGAUUGUUAUUUGCAGAGGAGAGACAGGGUUUUAUUACCAUUUUGAAAAUGUAGUUUCAAAGUUUUAGGGUCUAUAGAGUUAUAUUUUCUUUUUAAGUCUCACUACAUUGAAAACUCUACAUGAAUAUUAGACAGGGAUUUUAAAAAUAUUUCUUAAAUUUAUUUUAAACUUUAAAUAAAUUUUCAUUGAUAUGCAUACCUAUUCUGUUCUUUUUCCACAGUACUACGUAUUUUUAAUGACAAAAAUAUUCACAGAUGAUCAAUAACAAUCAUAGUCAUAUGUGCAUGUAAUAUAAUUUACAAUAAAUUCAUCCAGUUAGGGUUUAUCUUAGGUAUCACACUUAAGCAAGAAGUAUGGAUAACAAAUUUUAAAGUCUGUUCAUGAUAAACAGAUGUUUAAGAAAUAGUUUAAAAAGAACCAUUAGGUGAUCUUGGCUAAAGAAUAGAUUUGACUUAACUGUAGUCUGCUUAAAGACAUUGUCCACAGACAAAAAUCUUACUGCAAAGGAAAAAAAACCAAUUUUUUACUUCUUUGAGAUCUUGUAAAUUUUCUACACUGGAAAACUGUAGCUUUUAUACCAGCGUGAUUCUUCUCAUAUGAGAUUCUGGUGUUUAUGUACAUUGUACACUUUCAAUGCUAAAGAUUUCAAAAGUUCUAAGCAUUCUUUCUGCUUCAACUGGAUGCCUUGACUCUUCUAAUUCAAAUAUACAUAUUGCAAAGAACAGCCUACUCGGGGUAGCAUUUGUCUGGCAGUUUGUUCUAUAAAUUCACUGAUUCACUUCCAGUGAAUUAAACUGUAGAUAUACAGUAUAAAAUUAAGAACCACCAUAUUUUUUGAUCAAAAGUUAGUACAAGGGUUGCUUUGCAUCAAAAACCUCCAUAAUGCUGGUAUUGUUCUGCCUUGGGGGAAAUGAUGGUUAGAAAUAAGAAGAAAUCAUAAUGAAAGAAUACCAAUCAUCUGUUUUGCAACACUCAUGUAACUUUUACAUGAACUUCUUAACUAAAUAUCAGAGAUAUAUUUAAUUAUUUUUGACCAUGCCCUGAUCAAAACAGAAGGUACAAUUUGUGAUCUGUCCCAGUUCUGAAGCAUAAUUAAAAAACCAGCAUUGAAACAUAUGGACUGAAAAAUUAUUGUAAUAGAAAUAUUCAACUAUGUCACAUUCCAGCCAGUGACACUUGAGACUCUAUAAUAGACACUGGAAAAUUUGUUAGCAUGGCUCACAGCAAGAAUUGCCUUAAUGCAAUGGCAGCUGGAUAUAGUUAUCCUGGAAAAUUUGAAAAUUUAAUUAGUUACAGUGAGGUGAAGGCAAAAUAGUAGGUUAGUUUAUGUGCAAAACCUGCAGAUUCUAGGUUUAUGUCAGAAUACUGUGACCUACAAACAAUUAACUGCGCUUUCAUGUAAGAAUUAGUUUCACUGACUUUAGUUUGCAAGCAGUUAAUUCAAAAUUAAGACUAUUAUUUUCUCUUAUAUUUGCUCCAAGCCUUUUUAACACGAUCACUUCCCUAAGUUAGCGGAGUGUUACUCAGUACUGAAGAGACUGUUAAGCCAACAUCUGUUUCACAGCAAAAAAUCCAUGGUGAUGUGGUGAUUAAGGCAGAUAGGUUUUCUAUCCUCAGAGAAUAAAUGCAUGGCCAGGAUCCUCAGUGGUGAUUGUAUCCUCGUGCCUGUAUUGGGUUUGUGUAUUUGGUAUUUGUGUAUCUGUAUUUGGUAGUGAGGGGUCUACAGGUGCUGCUUCUGGAAGAAGCUCCUGGAGGAAUGCCAGCCAGCUCCAGGACAGACCCACUGCUGGCCAAAGCCGAGCCCAGCAGUGAUAUUGGAGGCACCUCUGUGAAAAUGUAGUUAGGAAUGGGGGGCAAAACCUGCACACCACCAACAGAAGUCAGAAGAGAGGAGUGAGGACAUGUGAAAGGAACAACUCUGCAGACACCCAGAUGAGUGAAGGAGAAGGUGCCCCAAAGCAGAGACUCCCCUGCAGCCCAUGGUGAAGGCCAUGGUGAGUCAGGCUGUGCCUCUGCAGCCCAUGGGGGUCCACAGUGAGUAGGAAUCUGUCUGUUGAUCGUGGAGAUGAUCACACCACACUGAAACAGAUGGAUGUGUCCACAGUAGACACUAAUUUUCCCAAGCCUAUUUUGCCUGUCAUAGUAACUGUCUCUCACUUUCCUUAUCUUGACCCACAAGCCUUCCCUUAAAUUCUCUCUUUGUGCAGCUGAGGAGGGAAGUGAUAGAGAAGCUGUGUGGGUAUCUGGUGUCUAGCUAGGAUCAGCUCACCACACCCUUCAAAUGCCUCUUUUCUUCAUUCUGCUUCAUUUUUCAAAAAAAAAAAAAUCCAUUAAAUUCUUUCAGGACUGAAAAUAUUUGUCCUCAUAUUUUGCUCAUAUAUAAAAUUUUAGUCGUUGUAAUAUCAAGAAAAGUAUUAUAAAAUAUAUUUUAUUAUUUCUCUUUACUCCCUCUUAAAAGCAUCUCUGUUCUGGAGAAGUUUGACAGUGAUUUCAGACACAAUUGAAUUAAUAAGAUCCCAGAUAUCUAAGGCCAUCCACAUUAAGUUAGUUUAUAUCUGAUUUUUUGCUUCAGUGCUCCUUCUCCAUUUCAGUGCUAUUGAAAAGUUAUCCAAAAUCCUGUAUCUGGUCCACACAACGACUGAACAACUUUAUGUCCUUCCUCUUUAACUAUUGAACUCAUCAAAUUAGAGAUACGUUUGUCCAUUAGUUCAGAUGAAUACCAUGUUUUUCAAUGCACUUAGUAAAGGCUCCUAUAAGUGAAUUAUUUUAGGUGUUUUAUAUAGUCAGUGGUGAGAGAGUCACUCUGUUUUAUGAGCUAACUAAGUGUCUGGGGCUUCUUGUCUCUCUCCAUUGUCUAUAUAGGCACACUGAAUAAACACAUUCUCCAGGCCUGUAUUCUGCUAUCAUUGUUUGGGGAAUUUCUGCCAGCUCAUUCAUGCUUUUUAAAAAAAUUAGCGUUUUCAAAGUGGCCUUGUCAGUCUGGUCACAUUCUCAGUUUCAGAGAGAGUUAGCUGCUGUUUUUCAAAUAAUGAUUUUGAAAACUCCAGUAAAUGUCCACUUCAGAACCUUUUUUCCUUAUAAUUCAAUGACCUAAUUUCCGAAGUCUGAUGGCUACCACUUCCAUGCAUGUGUUUGUGAUUAGAUUUUUUGGCUUAAACAUCUAGAGAGCAGGAAACUUGUUUUUGACAUCUACAUGUAAACAAGAAGCUCUGGGCUGCUUUACAGCUCUGGGCAGAGCUUCUAGAGGUAGUGAUACUCUCUGCUGCAUUUGUCACAGAACAGGGAGGAAAAAUGAUUAGGCUAGGCCCAUUUCCACCACACGUGUGUAGCAGCCUGGAACAUUUCAGUUAAAGGACUUUGUUUGGAGGGGAAAAAUACCUUUAUUAUGCUCUGCUGACAGAACAGGUGACAAAGGACUGAACUCAAUAUUUCAGCGGAAAGACAGUAGUAAAACUGUUUGUGUGGUUUUUCAGUAAAAGGAUUCAAAAUGCUGGCAAUCAUGAUUUGUGGUUUGGCUCAGGGUUUGGCUUUUGCAUCUGUUUUGGUGGAGGUUGUGGUUAUUUGGGGGUUUUUUUAUCCCUAGAUUGCUAGUAACACUGAACAGUAUCCCACUGCAGUUUAUUGAAACUACACAAACAAGGUAAUUUCUGGGUUUUUUUAUUAUUGGGUGGAAGGGGGUUUCUCAAUUUUCAGGAAUUUUAAAAUCUCAUUUACUGAAAAUUUACGUGGCAGUAUAAUUACAAUGAAGUACACAGGAUAUUACAUAAAUUAAUUUGGCUUCAGAUACUCCUUUUCUCUUUUGCAUUAGUCUUUGUCAUGUACAUCUUCUGUGGGGCUUACUGCUUUAUAUGCUAGUGACAUAUUGAAGCUUUGCAUUACAGGAGAAUUUUGCAAUUUUUUGAUGGUAAUAUGAAAAAGAAUAAAAUUGUGAUUGAAAUUAGUUCCUCAGAAAUAUUUUGCAGUUGAAAAUCAAACAAAGAAGAAUUCAGGGUACAUUUACUGCUACCGUGCUGCAAGAGGAGUGUAUGAAAAAAAAGUUAUUGUUGUAUAGUGUUAUCCCUAAAUACGCAUUCAAAGCUUUAGUUCUAGAUCUGUUUGACAUAUUUAGAGCAUGUGACAAGAUCUUCAAAAAUUUUCCACUUUCUCAACUAGCCUUCAACACUUGUGAAAUAAACUGACUACAGAGUGCCAUGUUAAAGCUCCAUUCUCUCUUUUUUUAACAGUAAUAUGUUCACAGGGAAUAGAUUCAAGGCUCUGGACUGAAUUGGGCUGACAAAGCCUCGCAAUAUUAUUAAGUAGUGAACAUUGUUUGUUUUGGCCUACUUCCUGAAGUCUUUUGUUCUUUUAUUUCUCACCUUUUUUUUCUAUAUUUUCAGGGACAGAUUAUUUUUCCCAAGUGAAAUCAAAUGAUGAGAGAUAUGGAAGAUGGCUGAGGUUAAUACUGCUACUUAGUUCUAAUGAAAAAUCAUGUCCUUUAAUCAUCAUUGAACAUCUUUAUUAUCCAAAAAUAAAACUGUGCUUUUCACAUUU